ACUAGCGAGCGGCGGACGGGUGAGUAACACGUGGGUAACCUGCCCAAGAGACUGGGAUAACACCUGGAAACAGAUGCUAAUACCGGAUAACAACACUAGACGCAUGUCUAGAGUUUGAAAGAUGGUUCUGCUAUCACUCUUGGAUGGACCUGCGGUGCAUUAGCUAGUUGGUAAGGUAACGGCUUACCAAGGCAAUGAUGCAUAGCCGAGUUGAGAGACUGAUCGGCCACAUUGGGACUGGGACACGGCCCAAACUCCUACGGGAGGCAGCAGUAGGGAAUCUUCCACAAUGGACGAAAGUCUGAUGGAGCAACGCCGCGUGAGUGAAGAAGGGUUUCGGCUCGUAAAGCUCUGUUGGUAGUGAAGAAAGAUAGAGGUAGUAACUGGCCUUUAUUUGACGGUAAUUACUUAGAAAGUCACGGCUAACUACGUGCCAGCAGCCGCGGUAAUACGUAGGUGGCAAGCGUUGUCCGGAUUUAUUGGGCGUAAAGCGAGUGCAGGCGGUUCAAUAAGUCUGAUGUGAAAGCCUUCGGCUCAACCGGAGAAUUGCAUCAGAAACUGUUGAACUUGAGUGCAGAAGAGGAGAGUGGAACUCCAUGUGUAGCGGUGGAAUGCGUAGAUAUAUGGAAGAACACCAGUGGCGAAGGCGGCUCUCUGGUCUGCAACUGACGCUGAGGCUCGAAAGCAUGGGUAGCGAACAGGAUUAGAUACCCUGGUAGUCCAUGCCGUAAACGAUGAGUGCUAAGUGUUGGGAGGUUUCUGCCUCUCAGUGCUGCAGCUAACGCAUUAAGCACUCCGCCUGGGGAGUACGACCGCAAGGUUGAAACUCAAAGGAAUUGACGGGGGCCCGCACAAGCGGUGGAGCAUGUGGUUUAAUUCGAAGCAACGCGAAGAACCUUACCAGGUCUUGACAUCCAGUGCAAACCUAAGAGAUUAGGUGUUCCCUUCGGGGACGCUGAGACAGGUGGUGCAUGGCUGUCGUCAGCUCGUGUCGUGAGAUGUUGGGUUAAGUCCCGCAACGAGCGCAACCCUUGUCAUUAGUUGCCAUCAUUAAGUUGGGCACUCUAAUGAGACUGCCGGUGACAAACCGGAGGAAGGUGGGGAUGACGUCAAGUCAUCAUGCCCCUUAUGACCUGGGCUACACACGUGCUACAAUGGACGGUACAACGAGAAGCGAACCUGCGAAGGCAAGCGGAUCUCUUAAAGCUGUUCUCAGUUCGGACUGUAGGCUGCAACUCGCCUACACGAAGCUGGAAUCGCUAGUAAUCGCGGAUCAGCACGCCGCGGUGAAUACGUUCCCGGGCCU
rnacentral:rRNA from 1 species